rnacentral:pre_miRNA from 13 species
CAUGGGGCACAAGGUGAUGACCUAUGAAUUGACAGCCAAUGAUUGUAACAUCUGCCUGUCAGUUCUGUAGGCCACUGCUGUGUUGGUCCCUCUGACAUC